AGUGAUAUAAUUUUCACUGACAAUUCUAGUUGGCAAAGGAGUCGAAAAUUUCGGCUUGGAGCUAGACCUGUGCCUAAAACUUGUGGUGAAGCAAGGAUUAGAGAAGCUAGGAGUGAAGCUUUUGUGGUAAAGGAUCAUCGCGGAGAGUUGUACAAGAAACAUCACCCUCCAAGUUUGGAUGAUGAAAUCUGGCGUUUGGAAAGAAUAGCAAAGGGCGGUGCAUCCCACAAAAAGUUGGCUGAAUAUGGAAUUCAUACUGUGAGGGACUUUCUGCAGAUAUAUGAAAUUAAUCCAUCUGAACUAAGGAAGGUGCUUGGAUGUGGAAUUUCAAACAAGAUAUGGGAUAUAAUUAUGGAUCAUGCAAAUGAAUGUGUUCUGGAUGAUAAGUUUUACACUUACUUUGAAGCUGGACAAAGUGUUGGGCUUCUUUUCAAUUCUGUGUACAAGCUCAUAGGAGCAGCAUUUGAUGGCCCUAUGUAUAAGCCUCUGGACGAACUCGCUCCUUCUCAAAGGGCCCUGGUGGAAAGUUUAAAGCAACAAGCUUAUAAGAAUGUGGCUUGCUUUAUCCUGAUUGAUGCUCGUGACAUUUUUGGCCCUUCAAGGUCCUUGGCAUGCCCACAAACUGAGUCAUUCAAUGGUCCAAAUCCCAGUCUGCAGCAAAUUGAAUUCCCAGUUGCACGCCAAGAUCAAGCAGAGAUGCUGCUAGAUUUCAACCCCAUGGGCAAUCAGUUAGAAUUUUCUGGAGCACAGAAUCCUAAUCCACUGCAAGUGUUUCCUUCAACACUAAGGAACAGUUUCAAAUUCAGGGACAUCUUUUCCGUUCCCUACCCUGGAGAAAACAAUUGGUCUACAAGUUCAUCACAAUGGCCACUAGUGACAAGUAGUCAACCAACUCCUGAGGACAUUUCCCAGGCACAAACAUCAACCU
rnacentral:misc_RNA from 1 species